GUAAGCAUAUAGCUGAUAAGAGACUCAUGUGUUGAUAAUUAGAUAUUUCUAAUGGCUUCUGGUUUAAAGCUCAGCUCUUUCUCAGGUUUCAGCAGGAGAGCUCAAGUAUGACAGACAGAAAAUACCAGAAGAAAACAACUGAACCAUCCAGGGCUAAAGAUCCAGCAUACUAGAUAUUUAAGAUUUGUGCAGCAUUACUUUAGAAUGUGAAUCUUAUUUGAAAUCCAAAGAGAAUUUGAGAGUUUCAAAGAGGAGAAAGGAUAAAGAUUUUGGAAAGGAUAUACCUCUUAAUUCGUGAAGUAUAUUAGACUCAAAUUGCUCCCAUUUAUCAAAUGUAUAUGUGUGUGUUUGUGUGUGUGCACAUGCACAUUGACUCACCUGGAUCUAAAAGGAGGGAAUGGGUGAGGAAGCAAGCAGAGACGUGGUAUGUAGAAAGUUUGAAGUCAUUUUUCUACUGAUAAUUUGGUCACAUGAACUGGGAAAAUCGACAAACUUUCCAGUUUAUAGCAAAGUAUUAUGAUGUAGAAUAAAUUUAUAUUAUCUGGCUGAUCUCUAUAAAGAAAUAUAUCAGCCAGUCACCAUUAAAACAAAACAAAACAAAACAUC
rnacentral:lncRNA from 1 species